GGAGCUUCUAUGGGGAGGGGAUGAUCCAGUUCUUCUAUUGACUUUAUACAUUUUGGAUAACAUCCAGUCUGACCUCUCCCAGCUUCUGUCUGGGUGUUUGAACUGUUAGAUUAUCUUUGGCAGCUAAGAAUAUAUUUUUUAUUUUUUUAUACCAAAGUGAAUAUUGAUGUUCAGCGGGUUAUCAAAACACAAGCUUACAUUACUGCAAAGAAACCAUGGCUGUAUUCUUUUCAGAAUGAAGUCAUGAAUUUCUCCUCACGUUGGAGAACAGGACAGUAAAUUAUGUGGGGGACAGAUUCAAAUACAGUUUUGCAGUGAGCAGAUCUAUACAGAUGUUUUAGGAAAGCAUCUUUGUGAAGGAUCUGUUACACACAGGCUUCCCAGAUGUUGCAAGGGGUUGCACCUCUAAGAUGUCAUGCAGCUCAUGGCCUUAAUAAAAGUGCUCCUUUUCUUGUAAAGAUUAAAUCUUCUCACCCAAAGACAAACUUUCUUCCCACAAUCUCCUCCGCCAAGGUGUAUGGUGUCUGUGCCACUGAGAUCUCCUACUCACAGAGGAGAACUUACUGGUUCCAGGUUAGACUUCAUUCCUGGUUCCAUCCAUUUCCUGCCAUUGUCUUUUUCCCUCCAAGGAGCUCAUGCAAGGAAGUUGGCUGACAAUGAGUUUCAUAAACUGUUAAGAGAGUUGUCGUUGCAGGCCUUGGUGUAGCUCAGCAGUGUGGGACCCAACCAUCCUAAAGGGUGUACUGGGCUGAGCAUAUCCCAUUUCCCUGUCAUGACAAAUACUGUGUGCCGUAUUGACAGGCAUUUGGUUUUAGCAUAAGUAAUCACUGAUAUGUUCUUUUAAGUAAGAUUCAUAGAUGAUGACUGCAUUUACUGCAUAAAUUACUUCAUUAUUAAAAUCAGGUCAUUUGAGCCCCAAAACCAUUAGCAUGCAAACUAUUAGCAUAAUUUCAUAAGCUAAUAAAUCAAGCGCAGGAAAAGAAUUAAGUGGUUCCUAGUGAUAAGUGUUUCUUCAGAGAUUAAGAAACACAAUUUUCUUAUGCAUAUAUUAACAUUUUAAAAGUGAAUUCAUGCAAAAGCAAUUUUUCUGCAUAUAUAAAACUUAUGUUUAAUAAUCUUUAUACUCAGCCUCCAGAGCUCCUUCAAAAUUAAUGUUUUUUCUCAAAUCACUGUACAGUAAUUUGGAGUUGAACCAGCUAGCCUGUUUUGAUAUAGUCUACCUGUAAAAUUCUCUAUGUUUCUAUUAAACAGUCAAAGUUAGGAAAUAAGCCAAGAUAUGAUUUAGAAGAAAAAUAGCUUGGAUUCAUCCUAGAUAAUGAAAUGUUCACCCAAGGUAAACUUUGCAUUCUUAAACCUAAGCAAUACCAAUGAAAUUGUAAUUAUCUCCAUAAUUGCAAUCUAGAACUACACUUGUCUUCUUAUUACAAUGGUGUAUUAAAAUUGAUUUAAUUCCCAUAUCUUAUGUUUAAUUCCCAUUUCUUAUGUAAUAGAAUGUAAUAUUGGCCAGAAUGACAGAGAUGGGCUCUUCUAUUCGUCUCAAUGACUAGAUUCAAACUAAUACAGCAAUACAACUGUAAUUAUUUGGAUAGACAAAAGUUGCAUGAAAAUAAAGCAAACUCCAAACUAAAUGAAACUGUAAUAAUCAACAGAUGACAAUGCGUAGGAAUUUUGUGUUACAAGGUGUCCACAAUUUAUUUAUAUUUAGAUGGUUUUGUUUUCCAGCUCCUAGCCUACUGGUUUGGUUUGUUUGCUAUAUUCCCUUUAUUUAUUUAUUUAUUUAUUUAUUUAUUUAUUUAUUAAUUAUGAGGCCUUCUAUGAUAGGUUCCAAGGAAUAAGAGAUAAUGUAAUAAAAUACCAUACGGGGUAUUUUGGAUCUUUUGGUUUGUAAAAUAAUAAAACAACCUCAAUCUUUUCCUGCACAUGUGAAAAAAAUGCUCAGUAGUUUCUUGUGCUUGCUGCUGUUUAAUGACAAACUUGACUAAGACAACUCCACACUGAGAACUACUUCUUUGAGGAGGGUGGCAUGUUGCUGGCCAUCUCCCUGCACCAGUUUACCAUGGGACCAGGCACAGACCACAGCUAGCACAAGGGAGAUUACAUGCAAGAGGGGAAGUAUGAGGACACUUCUUUUCACAGCAGCUGGUUAUUUUAUCAGCUUUACUGCAAUUUGAAGCCACAACUUCAGACACAGAAGAAUCAGUAUUGUCCCAAGUGCAGCAGUAGUGGUUUCCUGUGAGCAACAGAGAUGGUGGGACGGUCACCAGGCAGUCUCUGUGGAGGAGAAGGCCAAAAGAAACAUAUUAUGAGUACUCUUGUCACAGUUGUGUAGAUCAUGUACAUUGAACAAGGUGGACCCAUGGCUCAGAAGACCAAGUAUUAAUUAUGUAAAUAAGGAAGAAGUGGUGCACUGUCAAUGUGCAGUUUUCCAUGGCUGUUGUUCUUUUUUUCUGUUAUCCCUUCUGUCUUCUCUGUCUUCUGUAUUUCUGUCAGGACAUUGUAAAUCUCCCAAAUUAUUAGUGUGUUCCAUAACUUUCCCCAUCAGAAGAAUUCAGCAUCUUAUUCCUCAGUUAUGAUCUGUUUUGCAUUCUUUUUUUAAAAGCAGAUAUUGAAUUACUGCUGCUCCUGGCAGGUCUUUAACUUGUUUGGAGACUGUCUGUGCUGUUGUAUAUGCAUGAAUCAUUCGUAUCAGUUGUAGAUUGUCCAGGACUAUGUUUCAGGUACUUCUUCAGAAGGGUUUAUCAAAACUCGCUUCCAGGUCAUAAACUUAUUUUUCAGUGUUUGUGUAACUAAUUGCACAGAGGAGAUUAUGCAACUAGCAUGUUGAAAACACCCAUGUGAAAUGGUAUUUAUGAAAAUUUUCUAAUCAAAAUGUGAGAACAGUUAUGAAGUUUGGCAGUGUUGCUUUCUGUACUACUGAAUAUUAAAAAGAUUUGAAAUCUGAUCUGGAUAAAUUGGCAUGAGUUACGAGUUUUUACAACAUAGCAGUCUCACCUGAACUCAAAUGGAGGCUACUGUUCAGAUGCAAAUCCUAACUUGAAGUUUCUGUUCAUUUAUAAUAGAAUACUAUUGAAGACAAAGAACAUGACUCAGCUGAAUAAAAUUCCUUUGUCAGGAUUUUAUUUACAUGUAUGAAUACAUGUAAAAAGAAGAAUUUGCAUUUCCAGGAUCAUUCAGUGGUUUUUCUCAGACAAUGGUGGUAUCUUACCUUUCACAAUGCUAGCUUAUUUCUUUAGUGUGGAGCACGCAACAUGAAAGACCUAACAUGGCUGAGCAAUGUGCUUAUUUUCCAGAAGCCUGUGAAGAAGGUGGUUCCCGCAGGCAGCGAGCUGUGCACUGACCGCAGGCUUCUGCAGUGACUACGUCUGGAGGAGUUUCUCCACUUGCUGGAAAGAAAACAUAAGGAGAAUUUUAGUGGGCAAAAUAAAGGCAUCUCUUCUCAUGUGAAUGCUCACCCAUGAGCACAACAGAGCAACACAUGUGAACCACAGAUUUUGUUUCUCUACUUUUCUCGCAGUCAUUCAUACUGUUACCCUUUUCAAUGUAUUGAUCUGCUUUUUCUGUAAACGGUGAUCUGCAGUUCAAGGUUCUUCCUUAAGGAAUAAUUCUAAGAAGAUAUUAAUAAAAUUGGAAGAAAUUACCAAGUUACAUGACCUAGAAGUUGUAGUGACUGAAAGCAGACAGUUGGAGGUGAGAUAUCAAGUCUCAAGCUUCUACUGGGAAAAUAUGUAGAAAAAGAAAGUGUGAUUACGGAUGUUUUGUUGAUAAUAUGGGAAAAAGGAAACAGAAGAUUUCUGUCCUUCUUGGAAAAGAGUGCUGUGAGAAUUUCUGACAGCAGAAGUUGAAUCUGAAAUCUGGGUACACUGAAGCCAAUGAUGAACCUCCUGAAAACAUCAUGUCACUGGAGCUGUUUGUCAGGUAGAAGAACAUCUGAAGGCCCUGGAAAAGGAAAGUCACCAGACAGCAGCUCACUCAUAUCUUUGUUGUCACCUUAGAGAAUUAGAGGUGACACUCAAUUUAGAAAAUACUGGGUUUAACUGUAAAUAACACUUUCAGAAUUUCAUUAAAGAAAGAGUUGACAACUGAACUUUACAACGUUCACUUGCAGGUGCCAGCAGUGGGACAACUCCUCUUUGCCUGACUCAGAUUCAGAGAGGCUUUGGGUUGCCCCAGGCCCAAGAAAGACAAAGGGCGUGUACUGCUAUCCAAUCCAUGAGCUCAUUGAAAAAGGUGAUUUCCUCAAGGCAGAAUUUACAUUUUUGCUGUGUUGGCCAACAUGGUACACAUGUUGGGUAGAUCAUCAACUGCUGUUACUUGUCGUAGUUCUAUGGAAUUUGGUGAAGUCUGAGCAAUCCAUACAAUAUGAGGAUUUCACCUAUAUAAGAAGAAUCAAAGAAUAUUUUACAUUCAGUCAUUUUUCAUGACAGAGGAAUGACUUGAUCAAUACCUUUUUAUAGGGCAUAUGUAACUACAGAAUUAAUUCAAGUAGGUUGUUUUUUUCUUUUUUUAAUAAGCUGGAAGUUCUAUGAUUUUUACACUUUCAUAUGCUCAUUAACUCAUCAUUUACUAUGAAUCCAUCCACUUGCAGAGCUUGAUAUAUAUGUGAUUUGACAAUUACAAUUCUUUCUGUUUAAGGACAAAUUUCAAUUUUCUUGUAAUUUCACCCACUGGAAGGAUAGAAGUAUUCUUUUUCUUUUACAGAGAUGAGUAAUUUUCCAUCAUAUCAUGUGUGGUGGCACUUUUUUUUCUUGAAGAGUUAAAGGCUAGAUGAAAAUUUCAUCCUACUUUAUCUUCUCUUUAUAUUACUUGCAGAGUCUUCUCUCUUAGUUAUCUGCUCCUGACAUUUUUAGUCUUAGUUCUGUUUGGUGUCCUUUAUCUGACUCAUAUUGUUCAGAUUGAUCCUUAGAAGAUUCUCUACAAACUGCAGGAAUUAUUUAAAAUCAGGCUGCAAGAAGGGCCAUCCCAGCUCAGACUGAAAAAGACCUAUCUAACCCAGUAUCUUGGCUCCAAAAAUGAGGACAAAUAGUGAAAAGUGGACGAUUACUGAAGAUUAUAAUAAAAUGAUAAGCUUGCAGUGAUAGCUACCCACAUUAUCUUCCCAGCUUCCAGUGAUACAAUAUCCUAAGUCUGAGGCUGCCUCUUUGCAUUUAGUAGGUCCUGGUGGAUGAGUUCGUCCAAGAGAUUUUUAAUUCAUGUCAGCUUCUGUAAACCUCAACAUCUUGUGACAAGCAAAUUCAAAGUUGCCUAACUGCUGCAUGAGGCAACGCUUCUGGUUUUAUUUGUUUUGAAUUAACUAAUUAUUUUAUGCCUCCUUGUUUACUGUCUAUUGUGAUACAAAAACUUCCGUUCCCUCUGUGACCUGUCUUUACUACUCCUGAUUUUAGAAAGCUUUUAUCUUUCCUUCCACUACCAUAGUGGAUUUCUUUUUUGUUUUGCUCACGUAUGCAAUUUACUGUAAAUUUAGCUGUUAAUAUAGAAAGACUUAAAUAAUGCCAGAUGUCUUUUCUGAUUGUUUUCAAGAAAUAUGGCUGUGGAUGUUUUGUUUCCUAAAUUUUCUUCCUUUCAUCUAAAAUGAUAUACUUGCCUCUACAAUUUCCAAGUUACCUGAACAAAGUUAAAAGAUGGAAGAUAUUACUAUUUUUUUUAACACCUUACCUUUGUUAUUUGUGCAGUUGUUGCAAUUAAUAUUUGCCUUUUCUAAGAUAAGAGGUCAAUGUUCAAGUGCUUCCUCGCUGCUAGCAGCUGAUGGGCAUCCAUGGCUUAUCCCACAGAGUGCAAUCAGUACCUGACAGUACCCUCCCAGUUGCCCUGCUGCAUGGGAUCACAGUGUGCAAGGCUCUCAGCCACCUCCUGCAGUAUUUUGGAGCACUAAUGCAGCAGUGUUAGCUUUCCAAGGAGGCUGGAAUUUACAGUUUCACUCUAAACAAGCUUCUGGACAAGGUCCAUCUGCAGCAGCUUUGUGAAACUGCAGUACAUGUAGAAUAACUGAGAAGGCUAUUGCAUGGGGCACACAAACUCCAAAUUCAGGAAAAUAACUUGUUAAGAGUGCUACCAAAUGAAUUUGCCAUUUUUCCCUUGUACUUUCAUUCUUGAUUAAUGGACUGACCUUGUCUGAGAGUACUCUGAAAGGCUCUGUCAGUUCAGUAGGCAAGAAAAACUUAAGAUACAGACUUGUAACUGCAUUUGCAGCAAUGAAUGCUAACCAGAAGGAGAAAAUCACAGAAUCAUAGAACCAUAGAAUUGUAGGGGUUGGAAAGGACCUCUGAAGAUCAUCUAGUCCAACCCCCUAUUAAGGCAGUUUCCCUACAGUAGAUUGCACAGGAAAGCAUCAAGGUGAGUUUUGCAUAUCUCCAGAGGAGAAGUCACAACCUGUCUGGGCAUUCUGUUCCAGUGCUCUGUAACCCUCAAAGUAAAGAAGUCUUUUCUCAUGUUCAUAAGGUACUUCCUGGGUUUCAGUUUGUACCUGUUGUCUCUGGGCUUCCACUUGCUUCCGGCACUUUAUAAGCAUUGAUAAGAUACCCUCUCAGUCUCUUUUCCAGGCUGAACAGCCCAAGGUCUCUCAGCCUUUUCUUGUAAGGGAGAUG
ensembl:lncRNA